UUUUCCCCUUGCUGGUGAGUGAGGUUUGGUGUCAACGGGAUUAAGCUGUUGUUGGAGCUGAGGAAUCUGAUCAUUAUUCGUACACUUAGGACAUUGAUUCGAGACGGUGUCUCGACGAGGGAUC